GAUGAACGCUGGCGGCGUGCCUAAUACAUGCAAGUCGAGCGAACGGACGAGAAGCUUGCUUCUCUGAUGUUAGCGGCGGACGGGUGAGUAACACGUGGAUAACCUACCUAUAAGACUGGGAUAACUUCGGGAAACCGGAGCUAAUACCGGAUAAUAUUUUGAACCGCAUGGUUCAAAAGUGAAAGACGGUCUUGCUGUCACUUAUAGAUGGAUCCGCGCUGCAUUAGCUAGUUUGUAAGGUAACGGCUUACCAAGGCGACGAUGCAUAGCCGACCUGAGAGGGUGAUCGGCCACACUGGAACUGAGACACGGUCCAGACUCCUACGGGAGGCAGCAGUAGGGAAUCUUCCGCAAUGGGCGAAAGCCUGACGGAGCAACGCCGCGUGAGUGAUGAAGGUCUUCGGAUCGUAAAACUCUGUUAUUAGGGAAGAACAUAUGUGUAAGUAACUGUGCACAUCUUGACGGUACCUAAUCAGAAAGCCACGGCUAACUACGUG
rnacentral:rRNA from 1 species